CACUACUUUUACCGCCAGCGAACUCGAGCGACAUGUGUUACUUUACGUUUUAUUCCUUUGAUAUUGAGGGAAUAACUGAUCUGUGAUGCUGUAUAAUAAGUUUUCAUGGGGUACAAAAAUAGGAUGAUAACUGUAAUUUGUGAGUAAGACAGAUCACAGUAUUUUGUUAAAGUGAACAUGUGGACUGGAAUAUUAAAUGAUUCACAGUGAAAUAUUGUUCUAACAGCACAGUAUGCCGUCUCAGUUAGAGAAUAUGUUGAUGAGGAAUACCCAGGCAGAUGGAUGGGAUGGUCUAGUACAAUCUUAUGGUCGGACUGACUAUAAGAUUGUACUACUUUCCCCAACUUAAAUCCAUUAGAUUUUUUUACUGGGGGACCAUGAAGAAAAAGUUUGUUUAAAGCCAAUUGAAAGUUUAGCUGAGCUAUGGUAAAGAUGAAUGGAAGCAGUUGAAUUGGUUAACGGAAGAUUCUCUUGUCAGACAACCCGAUCUUUUUUAAGAAGUGGAGCUUACAUUGCAGUUGAAGGAAUGCAGAUUGAACACUGUAUUAUAUUUCAAAUAAUUGAUGUUAAACAAUUGUUGUGUAUUUAAUAAAGAUGUUUAAUUUAAUAAUUUAA
rnacentral:lncRNA from 1 species